rnacentral:lncRNA from 1 species
UGGUAUACCUUCUGAAACGAACCGGAUUUUCAUUUCUGAGAAUCUGACUUCCUGUACCCUUGUGAUGGUCCCUGGAUCAGUAGCUAUCACGUACAGAACUCAUUUCAGCAAAAUAUCAUUUCCAUACAACAACAAAAUUAGAGUACAAAAGUUGAGAUUUACAUCCAAAACAUCUCAGAAUACAAAUAUGGUACAGGCCCCUUGGGCUAAACGACAUACAAAACUCAUAUGCAGCGGAAACUAGAGCUUCAAGUCUUCAUCUCUGAUCUUCACCACAGGCAUCCUUAAGUGAAGCAACGCGACCCAUCCUUCAUGACUUCUUCUUCGUGAUCG